rnacentral:rRNA from 1 species
UACGUAGGGUGCAAGCGUUGUCCGGAAUUAUUGGGCGUAAAGAGCUCGUAGGCGGUUCGUCGCGUCGGCUGUGAAAACCUGAGGCUCAACCUCAGGCCUGCAGUCGAUACGGGCGGACUUGAGUACUGCAGGGGAGACUGGAAUUCCUGGUGUAGCGGUGAAAUGCGCCAGAGAUCGGGAGGAACACCCGUAGCGAAGGCGGCACUCUGGGCCGGUACUGACGCUGAGGAGCGAAAGCGUGGGGAGCAACAGG